rfam:Trachymyrmex cornetzi contig37257, whole genome shotgun sequence.
UAAAUUAUGAAAUUGAUUGGUCCGUGUUACUGAUUUAUUAGUGAUUAAUUUUGUAUCCAAUCUCUGACUAAU